UACGAAGGGGGCUAGCGUUGCUCGGAAUCACUGGGCGUAAAGGGUGCGUAGGCGGGUCUUUAAGUCAGGGGUGAAAUCCUGGAGCUCAACUCCAGAACUGCCUUUGAUACUGAAGAUCUUGAGUUCGGGAGAGGUGAGUGGAACUGCGAGUGUAGAGGUGAAAUUCGUAGAUAUUCGCAAGAACACCAGUGGCGAAGGCGGCUCACUGGCCCGAUACUGACGCUGAGGCACGGAAAGCGUGGGGAGCAAAC
rnacentral:rRNA from 1 species